GGUUUGAUUCUGGCUCAGGACGAACGCUGGCGGCACGCUUAACACAUGCAAGUCGAACGAGAGAAGAGAAGCUUGCUUUUCUGAUCUAGUGGCGGACGGGUGAGUAACACGUGAGCAAUCUGCCUUUCAGAGGGGGAUACCGAUUGGAAACGAUCGUUAAUACCGCAUAACAUAAUUGAACCGCAUGAUUUGAUUAUCAAAGAUUUAUCGCUGAAAGAUGAGCUCGCGUCUGAUUAGCUAGUUGGUAAGGUAACGGCUUACCAAGGCGACGAUCAGUAGCCGGACUGAGAGGUUGAUCGGCCACAUUGGGACUGAGACACGGCCCAGACUCCUACGGGAGGCAGCAGUGGGGAAUAUUGCACAAUGGAGGAAACUCUGAUGCAGCGAUGCCGCGUGAGGGAAGAAGGUUUUAGGAUUGUAAACCUCUGUCUUCAGGGACGAAAAAUGACGGUACCUGAGGAGGAAGCUCCGGCUAACUACGUGCCAGCAGCCGCGGUAAUACGUAGGGAGCGAGCGUUGUCCGGAAUUACUGGGUGUAAAGGGAGCGUAGGCGGGAUCGCAAGUCAGAUGUGAAAACUAUGGGCUUAACCCAUAAACUGCAUUUGAAACUGUGGUUCUUGAGUGAAGUAGAGGUAAGCGGAAUUCCUAGUGUAGCGGUGAAAUGCGUAGAUAUUAGGAGGAACAUCAGUGGCGAAGGCGGCUUACUGGGCUUUAACUGACGCUGAGGCUCGAAAGCGUGGGGAGCAAACAGGAUUAGAUACCCUGGUAGUCCACGCCGUAAACGAUGAUUACUAGGUGUGGGGGGACUGACCCCUUCCGUGCCGCAGCAAACGCAAUAAGUAAUCCACCUGGGGAGUACGACCGCAAGGUUGAAACUCAAAGGAAUUGACGGGGGCCCGCACAAGCAGUGGAGUAUGUGGAUUAAUUCGAAGCAACGCGAAGAACCUUACCAGGUCUUGACAUCGUAUGCAUAGCUCAGAGAUGAGUGAAAUCUCUUCGGAGACAUAUAGACAGGUGGUGCAUGGUUGUCGUCAGCUCGUGUCGUGAGAUGUUGGGUUAAGUCCCGCAACGAGCGCAACCCUUACUGUUAGUUGCUACGCAAGAGCACUCUAGCAGGACUGCCGUUGACAAAACGGAGGAAGGUGGGGAUGACGACAAAUCAUCAUGCCCCUUAUGACCUGGGCCUCACACGUACUACAAUGGCUGUCAACAGAGGGAAGCAAAGCCGCGAGGUGGAGCAAACCCCUAAAAGCAGUCUUAGUUCGGAUUGUAGGCUGCAACCCGCCUACAUGAAGUCGGAAUUGCUAGUAAUCGCAGAUCAGCAUGCUGCGGUGAAUACGUUCCCGGGCCUUGUACACACCGCCCGUCACGCCAUGGGAGUCGGUAACACCCGAAGCCUGUAGUCUAACCGCAAGGAGGACGCAGUCGAAGGUGGGAUUGAUGACUGGGGUGAAGUCGUAACAAGGUAUCC
rnacentral:rRNA from 1 species